rnacentral:sRNA from 1 species
GCCGGGUGUGGUGGCGCACACCUGUAAUCCCAGUGGCUUGGGAGGCUGAGGCAGGAGGAUCGCAAGUUCAAAGCCAGUCCCAGCAACUUAGUGAGGCCCUGAGCAACUCAGUGAGAUCUUGCCUCUA